UACGUAGGGGGCAAGCGUUGUCCGGAUUUAUUGGGCGUAAAGAGCUCGUAGGUGGUUCGGUAAGUCGGAUGUGAAAUCUCCAGGCUCAACCUGGAGGGUCAUUCGAUACUGCCGUGACUAGAGGUCGGUAGGGGAGUGUGGAAUUCCUGGUGGAGCGGUGAAAUGCGCAGAUAUCAGGAGGAACACCCGUAGCGAAGGCGGCACUCUGGGCCGAUACUGACACUGAGGAGCGAAAGCGUGGGGAGCGAACAGG
rnacentral:rRNA from 1 species